AGUAUCGGCACGUAACACGAAGGAGAGAGUUUCGUCGUUAAGAAAAAACGUGACGUUCGCUCCCGUUGAAGGAGCACCAGGAAAAAUAUAUCGUUCAACUUACUGUAAGAAAAAUUAUUUCGAGUAAAGUAACUCGCAUCGCAGGCGAUCGUAGUUCGUGAACUAACAUGUGAGCGGUCCUUUCCGCGAAAAUGAACUAGGAAAUUUAUAUUGUUUUAUGGUGUCAUCAUCCGUCAGCGCGCUACGAUGUUCUCAUAUGUAACUGCAAGGUUCCGUUCACAUAGAAGAUUAAGAACUGUAUGAAAAAUCGGCUUUUUGGUAUUUCGAUCAGAAAUUUUGUCUAUCAUUCACCAUCGUUCGUCAAUCGGGUUAUGGAGCGUUCUUUCAAUGGAAAACCGAUAACCUGGAAACAGGUACGAUAUUAACGUCCUACCCCCAACCCUCGGCUCUGUUGAAAAGAGUUACAGACUCGGAAUAUCGAUGGACAAAAAUUAAUUAUGCGACAUUGGAGCGGACAAGAGCAAUAUUGGCUCAG
rnacentral:misc_RNA from 1 species